rnacentral:rRNA from 1 species
ACGAACGCUGGCGGCGCGCCUAACACAUGCAAGUCGAACGGAGUCAAGAGGAGCUUGCUUUUCUUGACUUAGUGGCGAACGGGUGAGUAACGCGUGAGUAACCUGCCCUGGAGUGGGGGACAACAGUUGGAAACGACUGCUAAUACCGCAUAAGCCCACGGAUCCGCAUGGAUCUGCGGGAAAAGGAUUUAUUCGCUUCAGGAUGGACUCGCGUCCAAUUAGCUAGUUGGUGAGGUAACGGCCCACCAAGGCGACGAUUGGUAGCCGGACUGAGAGGUUGAACGGCCACAUUGGGACUGAGACACGGCCCAGACUCCUACGGGAGGCAGCAGUGGGGGACAUUGCACAAUGGGGGAAACCCUGAUGCAGCGACGCCGCGUGGAGGAAGAAGGUUUUCGGAUUGUAAACUCCUGUCGUUAGGGACGAUAAUGACGGUACCUAACAAGAAAGCACCGGCUAACUACGUG